rnacentral:rRNA from 1 species
GUCGUCAGCUCGUGUCGUGAGAUGUUGGGUUAAGUCCCGCAACGAGCGCAACCCUCGACCUUAGUUGCCAGCAUUCAGUUGGGCACUCUAAGGUGACUGCCGGCUAAAAGUCGGAGGAAGGUGGGGAUGACGUCAAAUCAUCAUGCCCCUUAUGACCUGGGCUACACACGUGCUACAAUGGGCGGUACAAAGGGUAGCAAGCCUGCGAAGGUGAGCCAAUCUCAAAAAGCUGUUCGUAGUUCGGAUUGGAGUCUGCAACUCGACUCCAUGAAGCUGGAAUCGCUAGUAAUCGCGGAUCAGCAUGCCGCGGUGAAUACGUUCCCGGGCCUU